rnacentral:rRNA from 1 species
CCUACGGGUGGCAGCAGUGGGGAAUAUUGGACAAUGGGGGCAACCAUGAUCCAGCCAUGCCGCGUGUGUGAAGAAGGCCCUCGGGUUGUAAAGCACUUUCAGUGAGGAAGAACGCCUGGUGGUUAAUACCCAUCAGGAAAGACAUCACUCACAGAAGAAGCACCGGCUAACUCCGUGCCAGCAGCCGCGGUAAUACGGAGGGUGCGAGCGUUAAUCGGAAUUACUGGGCGUAAAGCGCGCGUAGGUGGCUUGAUAAGCCGGUUGUGAAAGCCCCGGGCUCAACCUGGGAACGGCAUCCGGAACUGUCAAGCUAGAGUGCAGGAGAGGAAGGUAGAAUUCCCGGUGUAGCGGUGAAAUGCGUAGAGAUCGGGAGGAAUACCAGUGGCGAAGGCGGCCUUCUGGACUGACACUGACACUGAGGUGCGAAAGCGUGGGUAGCAAACAGGAUUAGAUACCCUGGUAGUC